GUCCUUGUCGAUUAAUGGUGAAAUCAUCUCAUUGUGGUAUGUGCGGCUUAAAUUUGUACUUGCUUUGAGACACCGGAAGUUCAAAUCCUCCCUGGGACA
rnacentral:tRNA from 1 species